rnacentral:rRNA from 1 species
UACGAGUGCUCCAAGCGUUAUCCGGAAUCAUUGGGCGUAAAGGGUGUGUAGGCGGUAGUGUUAGUCUUCUGUGAAAUUCUUCGGCUUAACCGGGGGUCCGCAGGGGAAACGGCACAACUAGAGGAUGCGAGAGGUAAAUGGAACUCAUGGAGUAGGGGUGAAAUCCGUUGAUAUCAUGGGGAACACCGAAAGCGAAGGCAAUUUACUGGCGCACUCCUGACGCUGAGACACGAAAGCGUAGGUAGCGAAUGGG